UGUCCUUAGUACGAGAGGACCGGGAUGGACACACCGCUGGUGUACCAGUUGUUCCGCCAGGAGCACGGCUGGGUAGCUACGUGUGGUCAGGAUAAGUGCUGAAAGCAUCUAAGCAUGAAGCCCCCCUCAAGAUGAAACUUCCCAUCAUGUAAAGUGAGUAAGAUCCCUCAGAGACGAUGAGGUGGAUAGGUCCGAGGUGGAAGCGUGGUGACACGUGAAGCUGACGGAUACUAAUCGAUCGAGGACUUAACUAA
rnacentral:rRNA from 1 species